rnacentral:lncRNA from 1 species
GAUUGGGUGCGCAGUCUGGCCGGUUGCCCGCAGCAUUCUACCUGCUGCGCUGGGAAAGGCUGAGCCUCCAUGGAGAAAAAGAGGCUCCAUUGUAUAGAACACUCUCCCAUGCGCAAGCUCCAAGAGACUUCAUGCCAGGCAGAGGACACAGGAUAUGCUGAUAAUUAAGUGUCCAGGAUGGAUGGAGCACCACAGAAAUUCACUGAAGGCUGCUAGCCAGGAGACUCAAGAAGGAAUUGUUAAAAAAGAGAACUAUCCAAACAUUGUCCUCUCCCUUUGGAGCCUAAACAGGAAAGAAAACUCUUAGGGAAUCAGCACAUGUCAAAGGAACACAUGUGAAUCAGUUCUAAUGAAGUGGAUGAACGUAGAGCCUAUUAACAGAGUGAAGUAAGUAAGAAAAACAAACAUUGUAUUUUAAUGCGUAUGUAUGGAAUCUAGAAAGAUGGUACUGAUGAACCUAUUUGCAGGGCAGCAAUGGAAAAAUAGACAUCGAGAACAGAUUUGUGGACACAAUGGAGGAAGGAAAGGGUGGGCUAAAUUGAGAGAGUAAUAUGGAAACACAUUACCAUAUGUAAAAUAGGCCAUGGGAAUUUAUUGCAUGAAGCAGGGAGCUGAAACUGGUGCUCUGUGACAAUGGGAUGUCAUAGAGGGAUGGAAUGGGGUGGGAGGUGGGAGGGAGGUUCAAGUGGGAGGGGACAUAAAUAUGCCUGUGGCUAAUUCAUGUUGAUAAAUGACAGAAACCAGCAAAACACUGUAAAACGAUUAUCUUCCAAAUAAAAAUGUUUUAAAAAUAUGUAUAA